rnacentral:misc_RNA from 1 species
CAAAUCCUCGUCCCCCAUCAUGCCGGAAGAUGCUGACUCGCUUUUGCCUAGCGAAGCACAAAAAUCCUCUUCUGUCAUCCCAUGAAUACACAUUGGCGCCUUUGGCCUUGGUGAUGACUGCUAAAGUUUCCAAAUUGGGAAUUCUAUGGAAGGCGAUUGAUUCAGAAAGAGAUAAAAGUAGCUCUCUGGAUGCCAACACCUCCAUUGAUAAGAGAGGCUUCUUUGAAAACCCAGUAACAGUUCUCUCCAGUGCAUAAGUUUCCUUUCGCAGCUCUUGAGCUUGGCCA